AGAGUUUGAUUAUGGCUCAGAACGAACGCUGGCGGCAUGCCUAAUACAUGCAAGUCGAACGGAGAUAGCAAUAUCUUAGUGGCGAACGGGUGCGUAACACGUGAGCAACCUGCCUUAUACAUCGGAAUAACAGCUGGAAACGGCUGCUAAUACCGGAUAAGACCACACCAAGGCAUCUUGGAGAGGUCAAAGCGAAUUAGCGGUAUAAGAUGGGCUCGCGUCCAAUUAGCUAGUUGGUGGGGUAACGGCCCACCAAGGCAACGAUUGGUAGCCGACUUGAGAGAGUGAUCGGCCACACUGGAACUGAGACACGGUCCAGACUCCUACGGGAGGCAGCAGUAGGGAAUAUUGGGCAAUGGAGGAAAAACCUCUUACCCAGCAAUGCCGCGUGAAUGAUGAAGGUCUUAUGGAUUGUAAAGUUCUUUAAUUGGGGACGAAAGAAAUGACGGUACCCAAAGAAUAAGCCCCGGCUAACUAUGUGCCAGCCGCGGC
rnacentral:rRNA from 1 species